UACGAAGGGGGCUAGCGUUGUUCGGAAUUACUGGGCGUAAAGCGCACGCAGGCGGUUCGCCAAGUUUGGAGUGACAGUUGUCGGCUCAACCGACAAAGGACUUCAAAAACUGGUGAACUUGAGGACGAGAGAGGAACAUGGAACUCCAGGUGUAGUAGUGAAAUGCGUAGAUAUCUGGAAGAACACUAAUGGCGAAGGCAAUGUUCUGGCUCGUUUCUGACGCUCAGGUGCGAAAGCCAGGGGAGCGAACGGG
rnacentral:rRNA from 1 species